rnacentral:misc_RNA from 1 species
CAGAAUACCCCUCCGGGGGCUUUCUCAACCCAUGUUUACCCCCUUGUGUUUUGGCAGCUUCGGCUGCCAACAUAACUCUUCUGUAUUGUCGUCUGAGUAACAUACAAAUAUUUA